CUACCUCCAUUGCUAUACACCCAAAGCUCCGAGCUCCUCUAUUUUCCAGCGCCAUAUACCCAACCCUGGCCACCUCCACGCAAUCUACUGUGCCACUAGCUCCUCCAGUCUCCUAGCCACCUCCUUGCCCUAUCAACACCGCUCGCCGUGCCUCCGCGGCAAAUAAUCAGAAACUUCUCACCACCAUCUCCAAGUUCGUCCUUCUUUGUUCGCUGGAGAAAUCCACCGCCGUUGCUGAGCCACUGCUCGAUUCCUUACAGCCAUAGCACCUUCUCGAGCUCGCGCAUCAAGUUCGCUACUUCCCAGCCGUCCUCCCUCGCCGGGCAGGCACCUCCGCGGUGAGCUCCCUCCGCCGGUCUGGCAGCUUGUGAAAGCCCCCACUGGUCGUUCCCCUCCUUGCCGCCUACCUGCCCCUGCGUGAGCCACUGGCCUCUGUGCGCCGCCCCCUCCUUUUCCCCCUGCCACCGCCGGCCUCAAGUUGCCCAUGCGUGCCACGCCAUGUCUGUGCUGUGUGUGAUGUUCAGUCUCGAGGUUGAAGAAUGGGCUAGGGAUCCGAUUGCUUUUGAGAAAGAAAGUUCAGGGGGUCCUGCAUAAAGUUUUGGGUUUAAGUGUUAAGUGAGAAGUUUUUUUAGGGACCUUUGCGCAAUUAAACCUUAUAUGCUAGAUUGCAAGUUGACCUCGGUUUUCCUUUUUUCCUAGAUCUAAAAAGGCUGAAACUUUGAAAAUACAUAAGUAAAUGUAGAAAAAGGAAAAAUGUGAUUCUUAUUUUGCUAGGUUCCUAGUAAUGCCUAGUUUCAUUUAAAAAUACUCAUAUGCAUGUUGAUGAUCCGUAUUUAGCACUAGAUUUUAUUUGGUCUUUAAGCCUUUAAAUGCUUAGUAAAUCACACAAAAAUGGUAAAAUAACAAAACCACCUCUGUUAGCUUUGUCACACUGAGCUUAUGCUAGGAAUAAUAUUUGUGACCCUAUUUUAGAUGUUUUGCACACUGUUUUAGCUUUAUAUUUGAAAUCUAGUGAAAGAUUUUACUUUUUGCAUAGUAAUUGGAAACUGUCAGAGAAAAAUGUGAAACCACCUCUGUUAAAAUACUUGUGUUAUGUAAUUGCUAGGAAAAAUGUUGCUCACCUGAUGAAACCAAAUGAAACAUGAUUUUCUUUUAAUGCAAAUUUAAGUAAUAGAAAAAUAUGGAAAAUAGAUGUGCUUCACCAAAAAUCAUAGAAAAUUCACUGUAACCUCUAUUGCACUUGUGUAACACACUAUUGAAAUGUCAACAACAAACUCUUUUUAGAAUUUGAGUUAAAAAUAGUUAAGUACUUGCUACCUUGGUUUCAUGAAAUGAUUUUAAUUGUUUUUGUACUGAUCCAAUGCACCCCAAACUUUUACAGCAACCUAGUAAUAACAUGCUUGAGCUACUAUAAUUUUAUGAUGUCAUACCUCACUAUUUGCAUGCUAAAAUGAAAUUUGGAAGUUAAACCCGAUUAAAGGAAUAAAAGAACAUUUAGUAGUAGUAAGGGUAAAAUGGUAAUAUUGGUAGAGGUACAACAAAACAUUGAGAAACUAUUUGACUUUCCAAUCUGAAGUUAAUGAACAUGUUAUACAUAUAUGUGUGCACGACCUCUAACAAAAUCGAGCUAAGUGUCUAAAUCGUGAAUACAAUUUAAAACUGUAAUCAGGUGCUUGUCUAAAAAAAAGUUUUGGUCUUGAACUAGCUUUACUUUUUGAUAAUAUAUGAACUGCCUUUCAGAUCUCAAAAAUAUGAAAUGUUGAAGUAUUACAUAUGCAUCCCAUGUAGAGGCCAAUCUCGCCAACGGGACGUACGAGCUUCACCCGACUCAAGAAGAGGAGCCCCUGGUGGACCUGCAUCACGUGGAUGCCGAGCCCGCUCAAGACCAAGCACCGGAAGACCCGCUAACUCUCGCUGAAAAUGAAGGCAUGCCCCGGAGCAUAACCCGGUUUUCUAAACUUGUGCAAUACUUUCUAUUGAUUAUGUUUGUGCAUUUAAGUUUAUAGCCGUUGCUUGAAAACUUAGCUGCAUAAUCUUAGUACCUUUGAUCUGAACACUAGCAUGAUAGGUCGAAUAGAUGCCAUGCUAAUAGGACACGGUAAAAGUCGAGUGGUUUUCUGUCACUCGUGAGUUAAUAGGAGUUGUUUGUUCACUUAUGUUACAGCCCUAAGGAUGAUGGCCGGAGCUAGGCUAUUUGAAUUAUUUUGGUGGUUGGUAGAUUGCCCCAUCUGUCUAAAUGAAAAUAUGCUAAGGUUGAACCGUGUCGUUGUUCGUGAUCAAGUAUUUGAAAGUACUAAUCUCAUAUCUAGUAUGGGAUGAGGAAGCCUGGUACCUGAUUGAACCAGGGCGUGAGCGGAUAGUCCAACAUCUCUGGAACAUAGUUCCCAUGUGGCCACAUGUGGGUACAAGGGCUACCAUGGUACGACGUCAUCCAUGACCGUGGGGACUUAAAUCCGAGGGAGUGGGCCCAACACGUGCCUGGGGAUUGAUGGGGACAUUUGACAAGUGAAGUGAACUCGGCGUGGUACACGGAUAUUGUGGGGUUAGGUCCACCUUGCAAGGUUUAAAAACUCAAUUUGAAUCGUGUGCCUCUCAUAGUUUGAGACUGCUUGAUCGCUAUGCUGCACUGAGUAAGAAGUGGAACAGAGGACGAUAUUUACUACUGAUGCUUGAUUUAAAUUGCUUGUUCAACAUGCUUGAUUAGAAAAGGUGCAUACCUAGAAUGGUUAAUGAACUAAAACCUGAUGCUAAAACUUGAAAUUAAGAAUCUACUUUAGCUGCUUUUGGCAAAACAAACCCCUCAGCCAAAAAGCCUUGCAUGUCUAGAAGUCAGUGGAGUAGUUACCACAUGAUGGGUAAGUCUUGCUGAGUAUUAGUAUACUUAGCCUUACUUGUGGCUUAUCUUUUCAGGUUGUGGUUUAAAUGAAGUGGCUGCUAGCUUUACUUGGCCUACCUAGCUCUAUUUGGGUUGGACGGUUGAGUGGAAUCCCUCCUCAAACAGCGAGGACAGGGGUUAUUAAUGUCAUGGUCGGCUUCGCCAUGAUAUUUUGUAUCGACGUUUAGCUUCCGAGCACAUUUACUUUUCCGCUGCUACAACACUCUGCAAAUCUUGGUUGAAUUUCAAACUUAUGUUGUAAUAAUAAUUCAGACUUAUGUUUAAUCGAGAUGGAAUGUUGUAUUCUCUGAAACCCUCACCUUCAUGUGAGCUUGCUUUGUUUGAUAUGGAGAUAAGUGGUUUAUCGGAUGAAAUCUGACGGACCACCGAGUUGACUCAUUUAAAGUGUGAGAUUGCGUGUUAUGCGAUUUAAGUAUACUUUACUUGGGUUAAUUUGGGCGGCGGGGCAGGCGGCAUCGG
rnacentral:lncRNA from 1 species